GGAGAGAUGUCCGAGCGGUUGAAGGAGCACGCCUGGAAAGCGUGUGUACGUUAAUAGCGUACCCAGGGUUCGAAUCCCUGUCUCUCCGCCA
rnacentral:tRNA from 1 species